rnacentral:rRNA from 1 species
GACGUAGGGCGCGAGCGUUGUCCGGAUUUAUUGGGCGUAAAGAGCUCGUAGGCGGCUUGUCGCGUAGUCCGUGAAAACCUGCGGCUCAACUGCAGGCUGGCGGUCGAUACGGGCAGGCUGGAGUUCGGUAGGGGAGACUGGAAUUCCUGGUGUAGCGGUGAAAUGCGCAGAUAUCAGGAAGAACACCCGUGGCUAAGGCGGCUCUCUAGUACGGUACUGACGCUGAGACGCGAAAGCGUGGGGAGCGAACAGG